UGAACAAAAGACUCAGAAAGUAAACAUUACAAUCUAUUUAUAUGUUAAAGUAUGAUUCAAUACAAAGUGUCAGUUAAAUCCCCUCCCCCAAAGAGUCCCUGGACAAAAUUAUUUCCAACUUUAGUCUUUAUAGUUUUACUUUCCUCUAUCACUUAUCUGUUAUUUAAUUCACUUCACAUGUUAUAUCUAAGGCCUAUCCCUUUUCCUCCAGCACCCAGCUUGUAUUUCCACUGUGCUCUCAACUUUUGCAUAAUAAAAAUCCAAGUGUGUUGUAAAGUGUUUGCCUAGCAUGUGUAAGGCCCCGGGAGGUGAUUUCUGAAAGUGGAGAAGAGACUAACAAGAAAAAAAAUCAAAUUCUUCUUGGAUGAAAUCGGGCUUGAUUAGAAGGCUGGGGAUGAUUAAGAGUUAAUAACCGUUGUCACAUCUAAGCCUAUACCAAAUGUAUAAAAGUAAUCCGUAAUUACUGACCGAAAAAGUCUUUGUAGAUUGUUGUCUUUGUUCCUGUUGCAGGAUGGAUUGGUCACUUUCCUAGCACCGGAACGAAAAUACCUGGCGCCCACAGCUUACAGGAGGGAGACUUACUUUGGCUUCACAGAUUCAGGGGCUUCGAUCUACGGAGGGUGUACGUGCUUGCAGAGAGACCUCGUCCAAUGCCCUUGACCUGCCACCACGAAGACCACGUCACUACUGCACAAUGUCGGGGAAGGACUCGAAGAGGUUAUUUCAUCUGCCCUGAUCCCUACCCUUUAUUUUUAAGGUUGAUGACCUCAGCUCACACUGGAAAGAAUGGAAAAACACGGGUCUAUUUUAAGGGGAUAUUUAUGUCAAAGAUGGCGGAGACUUUCUCCAUAGGGUCAUUUUAACAGCCUAGUGAGAGGUAU